AGGGUUGUGGCUCAGAGGCAGAACAUCUGUUUUGCACACAGAAAGUCCCAGUUUCAAUUCCUGUCAUCUCCA